UACGGGGGGUGCGAGCGUUGUCCGGAAUCACUGGGCGUAAAGGGCUCGUAGGCGGUCUGUCACGUCGGGAGUGAAAACUCAGGGCUUAACCCUGAGCCUGCUUCCGAUACGGGCAGACUAGAGGUAUGCAGGGGAGAACGGAAUUCCUGGUGUAGCGGUGGAAUGCGCAGAUAUCAGGAGGAACACCGGUGGCGAAGGCGGUUCUCUGGGCAUUACCUGACGCUGAGGAGCGAAAGCAUGGGGAGCGAACAGG
rnacentral:rRNA from 1 species